rnacentral:rRNA from 1 species
UGCCAGCCGCCGCGGUAAUACGGAGGGUCCGCGCCUUACUCGGAAUUACUGGGCGUAAAGCGCACGCAGGCGGUUUGUUAAGCUAGAUGUGAAAGCCCCGGGCUCAACCUGGGAUGGUCAUUUAGAACUGGCAGACUAGAGUCUUGGAGAGGGGAGUGGAAUUCCAGGUGUAGCGGUGAAAUGCGUAGAUAUCAUGGGGAACACCAAAAGCGAAGGCAACUUACUGGCACACUCCUGACGCUGAGGAACGAAAGCGUGGGUAGCGAAUGGGAUUAGAUA